AACUGAUACUACCUGCGGGAACCUGCGGAAGGAUCAUUACUGAGUGAGGGCCCUCUGGGUCCAACCUCCCACCCGUGUCUCUUGUACCAUGUUGCUUCGGCGAGCCCGCCUCACGGCCGCCGGGGGGCAUCUGCCCCCGGGCCCGCGCCCGCCGAAGCCCCCUCUGAACGCUGUCUGAAGAUUGCAGUCUGAGCGAUAAGCAAAAAUUAUUUAAAACUUUCAACAACGGAUCUCUAGAUC
rnacentral:misc_RNA from 1 species